rnacentral:rRNA from 1 species
GCCUAGCCCUAAAUCUUGAUGCUUUCCCUACUUAAGCAUCCGCCUGAGAACUACGAGCACAAACGCUUAAAACUCUAAGGACUUGGCGGUACUCCAAACCCACCUAGAGGAGCCUGUUCUAUAAUCGAUAACCCACGAUACACCCAACCAUUCCUUGCAACAUCAGCCUACAUACCGCCGUCCCCAGCUCACCCCUAACUGAGUGAUCAACAGUGAGCAUAAUAGCCCCGCCCGCUAGCAAGACAGGUCAAGGUAUAGCCCAUGAAAUGGUAGAAAUGGGCUACAUUUUCUAACAUAGAACACUACGACAAGGGGUAUGAAACUACCCCUAAAAGGUGGAUUUAGCAGUAAAAUAGAAUAAUAAUGCCCCUUUUAAGCCGGCCCUGGAGUACGU